UACGGAGGAUGCGAGCGUUAUCCGGAUUUUUUGGGUUUAAAGGGUGCGUAGGCGGGCUUUUAAGUCAGCGGUAAAAAUUCGGGGCUCAACCCCGUCCGGCCGUUGAAACUGGGGGUCUUGAGUGGGCGAGAAGAAGGCGGAAUGCGUGGUGUAGCGGUGAAAUGCAUAGAUAUCACGCAGAACCCCGAUUGCGAAGGCAGCCUUCCGGCGCCCUACUGACGCUGAGGCACGAAAGUGCGGGGAUCGAACAGG
rnacentral:rRNA from 1 species